GAUGGACCCGCGGUGCAUUAGCUAGUUGGUGAGGUAACGGCUCACCAAGGCAACGAUGCAUAGCCGACCUGAGAGGGUGAUCGGCCACAUUGGGACUGAGACACGGCCCAAACUCCUACGGGAGGCAGCAGUAGGGAAUCUUCGGCAAUGGACGAAAGUCUGACCGAGCAACGCCGCGUGAGUGAAGAAGGUUUUCGGAUCGUAAAACUCUGUUGUUAGAGAAGAACAAGGAUGAGAGUAAAAUGUUCAUCCCUUGACGGUAUCUAACCAGAAAGCCACGGCUAACUACGUGCCAGCAGCCGCGGUAAUACGUAGGUGGCAAGCGUUGUCCGGAUUUAUUGGGCGUAAAGCGAGCGCAGGCGGUUUCUUAAGUCUGAUGUGAAAGCCCCCGGCUCAACCGGGGAGGGUCAUUGGAAACUGGGAAACUUGAGUGCAGAAGAGGAGAGUGGAAUUCCAUGUGUAGCGGUGAAAUGCGUAGAUAUAUGGAGGAACACCAGUGGCGAAGGCGGCUCUCUGGUCUGUAACUGACGCUGAGGCUCGAAAGCGUGGGGAGCAAACAGGAUUAGAUACCCUGGUAGUCCACGC
rnacentral:rRNA from 1 species